rfam:Schistosoma mattheei strain Denwood, Zambia genome assembly, scaffold: SMTD_scaffold0001894
AUUCGACUGAAGAGUCCCAAAUAGGAUGAAAUGCGGGUCCUGGAG